rnacentral:rRNA from 1 species
UACGUAGGGAGCAAGCGUUGUCCGGAUUUACUGGGUGUAAAGGGUGCGUAGGCGGCUAAGUAAGUCAGAUGUGAAAUGCACGGGCUCAACCCGUGAGCUGCAUUUGAAACUGCAUAGCUUGAGUGAGGUAGAGGUAGGCGGAAUUCCCGGUGUAGCGGUGAAAUGCGUAGAGAUCGGGAGGAACACCAGUGGCGAAGGCGGCCUACUGGGCCUUAACUGACGCUGAGGCACGAAAGCGUGGGUAGCAAACAGGAUUAGAUACCCUGGUAGUCCACGCUGUAAACGAUGAUUACUAGGUGUGGGGGGUCUGACCCCUUCCGUGCCGCAGUUAACACAAUAAGUAAUCCACCUGGGGAGUACGGCCGCAAGGUUGAAACGCAAAGGAAUUGACGGGGGCCCGCACAAGCAGUGGAGUAUGUGGUUUAAUUCGAAGCAACGCGAAGAACCUUACCAGGUCUUGACAUCCAUUUAACGAAGCAGAGAUGCAUAAGGUGCCCUUCGGGGAAAGAUGA